GUAGACCAAAUGGUCGCGCGAAAGUGUUUUUACACACGCGAGGAAAGUCCGAACUCCACAGAGCGGGUUAACGGUUAACAACCGCCGAGGGUAACCUUAGGGAUAGUGCAACAGAAAUAAACCGCCAAAUUGUUUGGCAAGGAUGGAAAGGCGAGGUAAGAGCUCACCAGCGUAUAGGAGACUAUACGGCUAUGUAAACCCUAACCGGAGCAACACCUAUUUGGUAAAAGAUGCGUUUGCUCGACGUAAAAAGGGUGGCAAUGAGCUACUGCGGUAACGCUUAGCCAAGAUAGAUGACCAUUUUAAACAGAAUUCGGCUUAUCGGUUUACUUA
rnacentral:RNase_P_RNA from 1 species